rnacentral:rRNA from 1 species
AGUGAACGCUGGCGGCGUGCUUAACACAUGCAAGUCGAGCGGUAUUUGACAGCUUAUCGUCAGAUAUAGCGGCAGACGGGUGAGUAAUACUUAGGUAAUUUGCCUUCGAGAGGGAAACAACCUGCCGAAAGGUGGGCUAAUGUCCCAUAAGACCACAGGGUCGCAUGAUCCAGGGGUAAAAGCUUCGCAAGGGGCACUUGAAGAGAAACCUGAGGCCUAUCACGGUAGUUGGCGGGGUAACGGCCCACCAAGCCUAUGACGGGUAGCCGGCCUGAAAGGGUGAUCGGCCACACUGGCACUGAGACACGGGCCGGACUCCUACGGGAGGCAGCAGUGGGGAAUUUUGGACAAUGGGGGCAACCCUGAUCCAGCGACGCCGCGUGAAGGACGAAGGUCUUCGGAUUGUAAACUUCUUUUGAAGGGGAAGAAUCCCUGAGUGAAGAACUCAGGCUGACUGUACUCUUCGAAUAAGCCACGGCUAACUACGUGCCAGCAGCCGCGGUAAUACGUAGGUGGCAAGCGUUACUCGGAAUCACUAGGCGUAAAGCGCAGGUAGGCGGUUUGGAAAGUCUGUUGUGAAAGCUCCCGGCUUAACUGGGAGAGGUCAACGGAUACUUCUAGACUAGAGUGUGGUAGAGGAAACUGGAAUUCCCGGUGUAGCGGUGAAAUGCGUAGAUAUCGGGAGGAACACCUAUGGCGAAAGCAGGUUUCUGGGCCAUCACUGACGCUGAGCUGCGAAAGCUAGGGGAGCAAACAGGAUUAGAUACCCUGGUAGUCCUAGCCCUAAACGAUGCUCAUUAGAUGUGGGAGGUAUCGACCCCUUCCGCGUCGAAACUAACGUAUUAAAUGAGCCGCCUGGGGAGUACGGCCGCAAGGUUG